rnacentral:lncRNA from 1 species
CUUCUCUGUACCAUUGCCUUUGGGUAGUCCUCUUGUCCACUGACAAUAGACUUGACCAUGUCACUUUCUUUGAUCAGUGAGACAAGCAAAGAAUUGAAACGUGAUGGACCAUUGGAACUUUUCUUCUUUUGCUGAUUUUGGAAACCUGCUGGAUAACAAAGACUGGCCCAGUUUACCCCUUCACCUCAGCUGACAGCCAGCCAGCCCUCGGAGCUGUGACACCUACUUGACUGCAUCUGCUUGAUAAAUAAGAAGAACCAGCUGGUACCUGUAACAUAAAAGAACAGCAAGAAUACAGAAACAAAGCAAAUCAUGAUUCAGAAUGUCACAAUCAUCUUGGAUCUUUGCACUUGCAUCACAAUGUUGGGGAUCUUUUUAUCUUCAUGUAAAGAAGCCCUGGCUAGCCUAAUGUAGGAACCACCUGCAGCAGAAACAAGCCAUCCCAACGGAGGAGCCCUAAUGCCAAACAAGAAAGUUGCAACCAUCCUAAACUCUUCAGCCCCAAGCAAAUCACCAGCCCCAGUCACAUCACCAGCUGAUGGUAGAAAUCCAACAUGCUAACCCGAACCAGAGGAAUAACCCAGCAGCUGACCCAAGACUGGCAAACUAAUAAAAUGGUGGCUAUUAUAAGUUUUGGCUUAGUUUGUUAUGCAACAAUGGAUAAAAUAGGGCUUCUUUGACCACCAGACUUGGAAUGUGCCUUCAGGAGAAAUAAGACAGGCAGUGAAGCUGUUCCUGCAGGCACUGCGCUUGCAGGGGGAAUAUGUUGAUAAGUGAUGCAAAGCCAGAUGAGGUCUCUAGACUCUCCAUAAAAUCUCUCUUUCUUCAACCAGGUUAUCUUACUUCUAUCUGCAAGGCCCAGCACAACCAUCA